GUGGCGCACGGGUGCGUAACGCGUGGGAAUCUGCCCUUGGGUUCGGAAUAACUUCUGGAAACGGAAGCUAAUACCGGAUGAUGACGUAAGUCCAAAGAUUUAUCGCCCAGGGAUGAGCCCGCGUAGGAUUAGCUAGUUGGUGGGGUAAAGGCCUACCAAGGCGACGAUCCUUAGCUGGUCUGAGAGGAUGAUCAGCCACACUGGGACUGAGACACGGCCCAGACUCCUACGGGAGGCAGCAGUAGGGAAUAUUGGACAAUGGGCGCAAGCCUGAUCCAGCAAUGCCGCGUGAGUGAUGAAGGCCUUAGGGUUGUAAAGCUCUUUUACCCGAGAUGAUAAUGACAGUAUCGGGGGAAUAAGCCCCGGCUAACUCCGUGCCAGCAGCCGCGGUAAUACGGAGGGGGCUAGCGUUGUUCGGAAUUACUGGGCGUAAAGGGUGCGUAGGUGGCGGGGAAAGUUGCGUGUUAAAUCUCAAGGCUUAACCUUGAAACCGCUCGCAAUACUACUCUGCUAGAGGACUGUAGAGGAGAAUGGAAUUCACGGUGUAGCAGUGAAAUGCGUAGAUAUCGUGAGGAAGACCAGUGGCGAAGGCGAUUCUCUGGGCAGUUCCUGACACUGAGGCACGAAGGCCAGGGGAGCAAACGGGAUUAGAUACCCCGGUAGUCCUG
rnacentral:rRNA from 1 species